rnacentral:lncRNA from 1 species
CCUCAUGCUUCACUUGGUGUCCACCAGCACUCCCAGGUCCUUCUCCGCAGAGCUGCUUUCCAGCAGGUCAACCCCAACCUGUCCUGGCGCAUGGGGUUAAACAACCCCCCCUUGGGAGCCCAGAUGCCACCAGCCCCACUCUCAGCGGAGACRACAGGGCACUGCACCACCAGCUUGGCCUCAGCACCGUCUGCGCCCGCACGCCGGCCCCCCUGCCCGUCCCGCCAGCCCCCGCCAGCUCACCAGCUCGUAGAUCAGGAGCCUGCGGCAGUGCUCAGCCAGGACGCUGCUCCUCUCGCAGAGCRGGGACACGGCGAAGACGCCCCGGAGCGGGUGGCGGAAGGAAACCCGCAGCAGGUCCAGGGCCAGGAGCACAGCUCCCACCAGCGAGGCGAGGAAGCCGAGGCAGCUGGAGACGGCGCUGCAGGACACCUGACGUCUCGAGGGGUUUGUAGCCGCGGAGGAGAUGUAAUAGCCGGCGACGACAUACUGGAAGGGAGAGAAGAACGGGCGCUCAGGUCCUGCCUCCCCGGUCCCGCCGGCGAAGCCCUCCCAGGCUCCCCGCUUACCAGCGCGGCCCCCCAGAGCGGGUACCAGUAGGCGAUGCACAGCUCGCGGUCGCCGGAAGCGAAGAACAAGGUGCCGCCGAGCCCGAGGAGCACGAGCCCCGUGAAGACCUGCACCACCUGCGAGGAAGGGAACGUGCCCAGGGUGCGAGCGCCACCAGGACGGCCGCGAGCCCCCCGCUGCGGCAGAGGCGCCUUAGAGAAGGGGGACGCCCGAGGGACGGCGACCGAUCCCCCCCCCCCGCCACCGCGACUUACCCCGAGCACCCAGCGGCCGGCCCACGCCGUGCACCCAGCCUGGGCCAGCUGCGGGCGGCUCCCCGGGGCGACGGCGAGCGGCAUCCGCGCUGCAAUCGGGCUGGCUCGCCCUCCCCUCCACUCGGGAGCCCGGGAAAGCGGGGCCGGCACCAAGCCGCCGGGACCCGGAAAGGGGUCGGGAGCGAGUGCCAGGGUGGGGCGCGGAGGGAGAUUCCCCCCCCACACCCCCCCCGACCGGGGCUGCGGCUCACGUGUUUUCUGAGAAAAGCAGAAAUGAAAGUCUUGCUUCCUAGAACGGCGCAAG